rnacentral:lncRNA from 1 species
CCCCAUCCCCCCCCUCUCUCCUCUCUCUCUCGCUAUCUAUCUAUCUAGACUUGUCAUUACCUUCUUCUCUCGUGACUCUGCGGCCAUCUCCGUGACUCCUCUUCGACCCUACUUUGAAAGGCAUAAUCAUGAAGAUGUUCACAAACUUCUUCAAUUCCUCACCUUCAUCUACUCAUCUCCAGAGGAGCAGCGUGAAGAGCAAGAAGUCCAAGGAGCGGCCUUCUUCCCCAUCUGACGCGCUAUCAUCCGGGUCUGCCAGCUCCUCCAGCUCCAGCGAUUCCUUCGGCAAGUCUACCGCCGCCCCUCCGACCCCACCUUCUGUCAUCCUUCACCCUCAGCCAGA